CCUACGGGUGGCAGCAGUGAGGAAUAUUGGUCAAUGGGCGAGAGCCUGAACCAGCCAAGUCGCGUGAGGGAGUACUGCCCUAUGGGUUGUAAACCUCUUUUGUCGGGGAGCAAAAGCCGGACGUGUCCGGCUGUGAGAGUACCCGAAGAAAAAGCAUCGGCUAACUCCGUGCCAGCAGCCGCGGUAAUACGGAGGAUGCGAGCGUUAUCCGGAUUUAUUGGGUUUAAAGGGUGCGCAGGCGGAUUUUUAAGUCAGCGGUAAAAUCGUGGGGCUCAACCCCAUCCAGCCGGUGAAACUGGGGAUCUAGAGUGUGCGAGAGGUAUGCGGAAUGCGUGGUGUAGCGGUGAAAUGCAUAGAUAUCACGCAGAAGCCCGAUUGCGAAGGCAGCAUACCGGUGCACAACUGACGCUCAGGCACGAAAGCGUGGGUAUCGAACAGGAUUAGAUACCCCUGUAGUC
rnacentral:rRNA from 1 species